rnacentral:rRNA from 1 species
AUGGACGCUGACGGACGCGCACCCAUGUGGAAGAAGAAAUCUAUAUUUUGGGACCUGCCAUAUUGGAAAGACCUAGAGGUCCGCUCCGCAAUCGACGUGAUGCACGUGACAAAGAAUCUUUGCGUGACCCUACUUGGCUUCUUGGGCGUGUAUGGGAAGACAAAAGAUACACCCGAGGCACGGGAGGACCAGCAACGUAUGCACGAAGAAGACGGCAUACAUCAGGGUCAUGCAAGCUACGCUCUUACCAAAGAAGAGAAGGAAAUCUUCUUUGAAUGCCUGCUCAGUAUUAAGGUACCGUCUGGCUUCUCAUCGAAUAUAAAGGGAAUAAUAAACAUGGCAGAGAAAAAGUUCCAGAACCUAAAGUCUCAUGACUGCCAUGUGAUUAUGACGCAACUGCUUCCGGUUGCAUUGAGGGGGAUUUUACCGGAAAACAUUUGA